rnacentral:rRNA from 1 species
ACUCAAAUGAAUAGACGGGGGACCGCACAAGCGGUGGAGCAUAUGGCUUAAUUCGAUGCAACGCGAAGAACCUUACCAGGGCUUGACAUGCACCUGCAAGCUGCCGAAAAGCAGUCGCUUUCGAAGGUGGUGCACAGGUGGUGCAUGGCUGUCGUCAGCUCGUGUUGUGAAAUGUUGGGUUAAGUCCCGCAACGAGCGCAACCCUCAUGUUUUGUUACCAGCGGAUAAUGCCGGGGACUCGAAACAAACUGCCUCUGUAAAGAGGAGGAAGGCGGGGAUGACGUCAAGUCAGCAUGCCCCUUACGCCCUGGGCUGCACAUAUGCUACAAUGGCCGGCACAAAGGGUUGCCAACUCGCGAGAGUGAGCUAAUCCCAAAAAACCGGUCUCAGUUCGGAUCGAAGUCUGCAACUCGACUUCGUGAAGUCGGAAUCGCUAGUAACCGCCGGUCAGCAAUACGGCGGUGAAUACGUUCCCGGUCCUUGCACACACCGCCCGU